rnacentral:miRNA from 1 species
GAGGGGCUGGGGGCGUGGCUCAGAAGCUGACACGUGGUCCUGUGGAGGCUGGGACCUGUCUGUCCGCUG